GACAGAGGGUGCAAACGUUGUUCGGAAUUCCUGGGCGUAAAGGGCUCGUAGGCGGCCAACUAAGUCGGAUGUGAAAUCCCCAGGCUUAACCUGGGAACUGCAUCCGAUACUGGAUGGCUUGAAUCCGGGAGAGGGAUGCAGAAUUCCAGGUGUAGCGGUGAAAUGCGUAGAUAUCUGGAGGAAUACCGGUGGCGAAGGCGGCAUCCUGGACCGGCAUUGACGCUGAGGAGCGAAAGCUAGGGGAGCAAACGGG
rnacentral:rRNA from 1 species